AAAAGUUGACUAAUAUCUAUAGAAUGAGUCACCCUAUUCACUUGAUUAUUAAAAUUUGCCUCUGCUGAUAUCACCCUUUGGUGAGCAUUCACAUGGGACACAAAUCUCUUAAUCUUUUGCACAUUCAGAGAGGUUUAUCCAUAUACCUCUUCCCCAGAUUUCCUUGUCACCAGUUUUCCCAUCAUGUUCUUUCCAAGUCCCUGAUCAUCCAGCCAAAUCAUCGGCUACAGCCCAUGAAUCAGUAUAUUAUCACAUGUCUGGCCAUCGGUCCUGCCAAGCAAAGUGCACGACCAGGUGCACUGGCUGAAGUUCUGCCCACUGGGAAGAUUUCCUUCACCACAGUCCUUCAGGGAUGUCCUAGAAAGGGGCUACAGUGCUACAGCAUCCACUUUUGGGUCGUGCCUGCAUAUCCUGCAGAACCCUCUGUAAACCAGGCCUGAGUCUUCUCAUCCUCUGUCAGCUGAUCUGGGGAACUCCCCAUGAAGCCACAGGUGCAGGCUGGGAGAGAGAAGGCAACAUAGCAGGGUUAGGAACCGUGGGCAUUUGGGUCACUUCUUCAUGUAACUUACUUGUGCCUUCGGAACCUGCUCGGGCCUGAUCACAGAUACACCACUUCCAUUUGAUGAUGGAGUCUUGCUUUGUCCACCCAACUUUAUGGUGUGGUGGGUCAGAUAACACCCAGCUUAUGACAGGCAGCUCAAGUUGCAUGAUAAUGUCAUGGCCCAUGUCAAGCGUUCAGUCUCUGCUGAGGCCCGCUAGUAGGCCAAGAGCUGUUUCUCAGAAGGGGAGUAGUUAUCUGCAAAUGACAGCAGGCUCUUGCCAUGAAAUCUUAUACUCUCCACUGUGAUUCACCUAUAGGGGCCUGCCAAAGCCUCCAAGCAGCAUCGCUACCUGCCACUGACACUUUAAGCGCCACUGGAUCUGCUGGGUCAUGUGGCGCAAGGGGCAGAGCAGCUUGCACAGCAGCCUGGACCUAUUGCAGAACCUUAUCUUAUUCUGGGCUUCACUCAAAACUAGCAGCUUUGGGAGUUACUCAGUAAAGGGGAGAAACACACCCAAAUGAAGAAUAUGUUGCCUCCAAAAUCCAAAGAAGCCCAUUGGGCUUAUUUUGGUUGUAGAAAUGGCCAGAUGCAAAAUCAUAUCCUUCACCUAGAAGGGCUAUUUUGACAUACCCCAUACCACUGGAUGCUAGAAAUUUCACUGAGGUAGAGGCCUAUGAAUUUUAAUCAGAUUUGUUUUCCACCCUCUGACACACAAAUGUUUUACUAAUAAGUCUAGAGUAGUUGCUACUUCUUGCUCACUAGCAUAAUGUCAUUGGUGUAAUGGAUCAGUGUGGUACCUUGUGGAAGGGAAAGGCAAACGAGAUCCCUGCAAGCUAACUAAUGGACAUAGGGCUGGAGAGUUACUGUAUCCCUGCUGCAAAAUAACCGAAGGUACAUUUCUGGCCUUGCCAGCUGAAAGCAAACUGCUUCUGGUGGGUCUUAUUAACAGGGGUGGAGAGAAGGCAUUUGCCAGAUCAAUAGCUACAUACCAGGUACCAGGGGCUGUGGUAAUUUGCUCAAGAAAUGAAACCACACCUGAUACAGCAGCUGCAAUUAGAGUUAUUACCUGCUUACAAUAAUCCACUGUCAUUCUCCAAGAUCUAUCUGCCUUCUGCACAGGCCAAAUAAUAAGUGAAUUGAAUGCAGAUGUGGUAGGAAUCACCACCCCGUGUCCUUUAUGUCCUUGAUGGUGGCAUCAGUCUCUACACUCUGUCAAGGUAUGGCUCUUGGUUUACUAUUUUCCUAAGUAGAGGCAGUCCUGCUGGCUUCUACUUGACUUUUCUCAACAUAAUAGUUCUCAUUCCACAGGUCAGGGAACUAAUGUGGGGAUUCUGCCAGUUACCAAGUAUGUCUAUUCGAAUUUUGCAUUCCAGAAAAGGAGAAGCAACCACAGGAUGAGUUCAGGGACCCACUGGACUCACUGUGAGAUGGAAUUGAACUAAAACUCCAUGGAUCAGCUGACCUCCACAAGCCUCUCCUCUAACUCCUGGACCACAGUGACAUUUUGGGUCUCCUGGAAUCAGUGAGAGUUCAGAGCCAGUGUCUACUAGUGCCUGAAAGUUCUGAUUAUUUCUUUUUUCUCAAUGCAUAGUUAAUGCUGUAAAAGGCUAUAUGUAGGUCCCUUUGGGGAAGGCUAGGGGAACAUUAACAGGAUAAAUUUCGGGUAGUACACCAGAGUGGUUCCUCAACGGGGCCCAUCUUCCCCUUUAUCCAAGGGGUUUCGAGGCUGUAGGCUGGCUCAAGUCUGGGAAUUGAUUGAGGGGCUAUGACUCUCUGCUUCUACAAUUCACGUUAGAUUUUUGUUCACUUAACCUAGAAUUUUCCACUUGUACACAUCAAGUAAGAAUUUGGUUGGCUUCCUAUCUAUUUCACUUCUAGGAACACCAUGGUCAGCUAGCCAACACCAUAUACAUGCGCGUGCACCCCCCCACACACACGCACACACACAUCCCCGGCACCAGGCCAGGAAUUUUUAAUUCUGAAGGAACAUCUCCCUCAGCUGUUUCUGCCAGUCUGAGGUGAGCAGUGGGCAUGGGGCUGGGGAGGGAGGGGCCAAGGCGUGCAUCUGCGUUACUGCAGACGUCCACGUUACUGCAUGUGUCCACAUUACUGCAGGUGCAGGUUGGAGCCCCCACCCAGACCCGCACCAGCUGCUGCCAUCUCUCAUGCUCAGUCCCAGGACAGUUAUUCUCAGCUUUCCCGGACACCUCCCUGUUCCCACUAGAUGCAACAGCACAGCUAGUUCCUGCUGCAUGGUGCUCCCAGCUUCUGAGUCUUUAAAGAUUUGUUUUUAGAGAUGAGGUCUUGCCAUGUUGCCCAGGCUAGUCUUGAACUCCUGGCUUCCAGUCACUGGGGUCAGGCCCUGCAGGAAAUUGGUACUGCUCGGAUGGGAGGCAGGAAUUGGUACAGCUAGGAUGGGGCAGGCAAGGCAAGUCCCAUUCGAUAGACUGUGGCCCACCGAGUGUAUGCUCUGCACUUGGAAUCCGGAAUGAUGAGGGGGCUAAGGACCAUGACAUAAACUGGAAAUAUUUAACCUAGAAAGACUGUUCUUAGAGACAUUGUUAUGUUUGAGUAAUAAAAGCUAGUACUUACUGGGCUCUAAGUUUGUGCCAGGCAUAGUGCUAAGUGUAUUAUGUGCUUAAAAAAAUUCUCAAAGGCCCCAUUUUACAGAUGUGGAAAUCGAAGCACAGGGAAGUGGAAAAUCACGGUUACUCUACCACAGUAUGAAUUCCCAUGGGCAGGAUCCCCCAAUGGAUGCUGAAGUGAAUGGGCAGAGCUAACUCAGAGAGCUAGGGGUGGCAGGGCUAACAUCUGAGCUCAGGUUUUUCUGAUUCCAAUUUUUUAACUGCCACAUGUGGGGAAUUAGAUUUUUUUUUCUUUUUUUACUACACCUCAUGGUAAAAUUUGGAUCCAUAGGUGGCAGCUACAGGGAGAUGUAUUUCACCUCAGUAUAAACAAUAUCUUUCUAUUUCCACCAUUCAAAAAUGGAGUAGGCAGGCAGCUUUAACAGGUAGUGAGUUCACCAUCAAUGGUGGCAAACAAACUGAGCAUGUAUCGGGGACACUACAGAGGGAUCCAGCACUGAUUAGACAAUCAGGAUUGCAGAGUGACCUUUUUGGGGUCAUUUAGAAAAUGUGUGAGUGGAAGAAGGGAGGAAGGUACCAGCCAAGGGAGACUCUAAAAUCUGCGAGCAGAAUGGCAAACUGUGAUUGCUGAAACGUUAUGGCCACAGCCAAGGACUCUAGGCACUGCCAGAGAUGGGGGGCUGUAAGGAGGCAGCAUGUGACAGGGUGAAGAGUGGGCAGUUUUGGGAUCAAGAUCCCAAGGGGCACAACGUCUUUGUAAAUCCUCCACAAAAGGCCUUCCACAGAAACUUUGUACUUCAAAAUUCCAGCCCUGGUAGGUCAUUCCCUUGGCUUCAGACUUUUUUCUUUGUUGAGAUGGAAGUUGAUUGGGGCUGAGUCAACUUAGCUAAGUGGGAGCUACAUUUCCCACAGUUGCCUUCCCAAUAUGCUUCCAUUUAGGGUUGGCUAUAAAGAGGAAUAUACAUGAGAUUCGGAAGGUGAAAUGAAGAAACAGCAAUUUUCAAGCUCUGAAGCCCAGCGUAAGAUGCCAAACACUGUGACUGGUCAUGGCUGUUGCGGUCCUGCUGCCUGGCCUCAUUGACAUGGGCAGCACCCAAGCCCAUAUCUCCUGCAGCUCCCUCCAGCCCUGCUACUCAGACUUCACCUAGUCCUGGGCCAGAUGCGAGCGCAGCUCCGUGGUGAAGUGCUCCAGUGUCUCUUGUAUCGUCCAGGUUGGAUGUAGUUCAAGACAGCUGUGGCUCCAGCCAGUGGGCAGCUUGUGGGCUCAGCCACAAUUGUCCUCUCGGGUUGCAGGGCACCUAUUGGGUCCCUGUUUGUCUUACUCUCCUCCACCUCACACCUUGAUUUCCCUCCUGAUUGCCAGCCUGGCCAACCUGUAAUGCCUACAGGCCCAACACCAGAAGUAAGGACCACAGUUUUGCCCAGACUUCUCUUCUUUACAUUUGUUUUUAGAGAUGAGGUCUUGCCAUGUUGCCCAGGGUAGUUUUGAACUCCUGGCCUCAAGUGAUUCUCCCACUGAAGCCUCCCCUACAUAGUCUUCUUAACCGGGUCUUACAAUUGCAUAAGGCCUAAUCCUUUUGUCAAAUGCCUUAUUCUGUAUCACUCAUAACAGUUCCGCUUCUCUGACUGAACUCUUUCCUAACUCACACGUAGCUGUCUUCCUCCACACACUGCCAAUCUUAUCAUUCUAUUCUACCCUGGCAUGUUACUGACUUUUAUUAGUGCCUUGCCAUUACCUAGAAAAUCAAGUCCACAUCCCUAAGGGUGGCAUUCAAAGCCCUCCAUCAGCUUUACCAAAGCCUAUCCUCUUAGCUGCUACACUGAACUGCUUUCCAGAAGGCCUGGGAAUGAAUCUGCCUCUGCCUCCUAUUAGCUAUGAAGCCUCGGGCUAGUCAAUUUCCACUGAACGUCAGUUUUCACAUCUAUAAAAUGGCAAAACCAUCCUGCAAGACUGAUGUUCUGCCCACACCACAGUUGUUUACUGCCUGUGUGUUCUUUGAUGGGUUGGUUCCCAUUUCUUGCCAGUUCUUGGAUAUUUUGAAUAGCACCCCGAAUUAUUUUUCUGUUGCUGCAUAACAAAUUGCCACAAACACAGUGGUUUCACAAUCCUUUAUUAUUUCGCAGUUUCUAUAGUUCAGAGUCUGGGCACAGCAGAGCUGGAUUGCCCGUUCAGGGUCUCACAAAGCAACAUCAAGGCGUUGGCUGGGGCCCCAUGGUGAUCUAGAGGAUAGGGUCCUCCUCUGAGCUCAUUCGGGAUGUGGGCAGAAUUCAGUUCCUUUUGUCUAUGGGGCAGAGUCCCUGUAUUCUUGCUGGCUCUCAGCUGGAGGUUGAUCUCAGCCCCUAGAGGCCAUGCUCAAGUCCUAGCCAUGUGGGCCUCUUCCAGCACGGCUACUCACAUCUGCAAAGCCAGCAGGAGAAUCUCUCUCCAGCCUGCUAGGACAGAGUCUUACAUAACACAACCCAGUCAGGGAAGUGACUCCCCAUCAUGUUCCCAGGGCCUGACCGCUGGGGAGGACCCAAUGGGAGGAGAUUUUACAGAGCAUGUGCAUCGGGAGCUGGGAAUCUUGGGGCUACCUUAGAAUUCUGUCCAGCACAAACCCCGUUACCUCUCAGCACUGUGAGUUGAAAAAAAAACAAAAGGGCUUAGCAUAGGGCCUGGCCUGCUGUUUGUCUUUUAUAUAUAUUCAUUAAAUCUCUUUCUCUGACUUAUUCAUGAUUACUGGAGGGCAAAGGAUCCCACCUUGUUGUUUUCUCUGUAUCUCCAGCACCUGGCAUAUGGCACGCCCAGGACCCAUGGUCCCCUGCGAGUGGAAGGAUAGAUACAAAUGGAGACAGGAAGCCUGUGUGGUCAAUAAGGAAGCCCAGUGCAGGAUUUAUGAAGUUGUUUGUAAGGUUUCAAGACCCUGGUGGUGCUCGUUCUGCAUUCAGGGUUGUGCUUUUCCUGCCCUCCAUGACCUUGCUUGCCUUUGAGAUAGCAACUGCUCUUUUGGAAUUCAUCAACAGAGGACUUUACAUUUGAAAGCCUUUUAAACUCCAAGACUGAACAACUGCCAGAGGGAUUUUGCUGCUGUGACCAGACACUUUCAGCUGGAGAGACACUUUCAGGUGGGGGUUUUCCUAGCUCUUCUGAGCCACAGUUGGUUGUCCAUGACUGGAUUUGUCCCUGAAUGUACACAGGUUGGCCUGAAACAAUAGGACCAUGAGUCACCCAAGAGUGGAUAGUGAGUGAAUCGGGUGUCCGUUAUCUCCAGGCAUCCAGGGGACAAAAUGAAAAGCCAUGUAGUCCAUCUGUCUCCGACAGAGAAGACAAAGCACCAACCUCUGUUCAGUCCUUUUACUCAAAAAUAUUUCUUCAGUGUCCCUCUACACACCUUGCCUCCAAGAAAAAAUAUGGGCAGCCUGGAAUAGUGGGUGGGACCUGGAAUCUGUGUCAAAUGUUGGCUGAGCUCCUCAAUGACGCAAACUUAGCUCCUUCCCGUUUCCUGGUGCUGCCCGACUCCAGAGAUGCUCUGGCGUCCCUCCUUACUGGUUGCCAUGCUGAGAUGAUGGGGAUCACGGGUGCUGACCAAUGUUAAAGAUAGGUAUGAGGUAAAAAGCAUUCAGGGAAGUCUUAAGUGUCUGCCAUUUCCACAUUUCCACCUAAGGAAGCAACCCCAGGGCGAUUCCUUGGCAUUGGUUGCCAGGCUGUGAGUGUUGGCUGAUCCUGGUGCCCUAGCCACCACUGGGGGACUCGUGAUUACCCAGUUACUCCCUGCAAAUGCUGGGUGGGACUAGAACCAACCACUUGCAGUGACAUUGAGAUUUAGAAUCAGAUAUUCCUGGUUCAAAUCCUGCCUCUACCUUGUACUAGCUGUGUGACUUUGGGAAAGUCAUUUAACCUAUCUAAUAUUUGUUUUCCUCACUUGGAAAAUGGAAAUAAUAAUAAGCCACCUGUGACAAUUCAUUGGAAGUACUUGGUGUGGUGUCUAAACUAAGCCUUCUUUAUAUGGUAGCAAUUGAUCAUCAUCAUCAUCACCAUCUUAAUGGAAACAACCAACAUGUGAAGUAGGAUGAAGAGAGGUUCAUCCUAAUCCCCAUUCUGCAGAUGUGGAAACUGAGGCUCAGAGAGGUUAAAUCUGACUUGCUUUGGGUUACAUACACAAGUACAGCUGGAACUUCAAACCUGGGUGUUCAUUAACCUGGCACCUCCUUGAUUGCAUCCUGUUGACCCCCACUUCAUGGGCCUCUCCUUCCCAUCUCCUGGCCCACUCCGACUGUGGAGGUCAUAGGUAACCCUUACUAAGUUUAUGUGUAUGUCCUGCUGCUCUCGCUUCCUGGAUCCUGCACAGCAGACAGCCAAGUGUAGGCUGGGACAGCUCCAAGCAGGAAAGGGGAUGUUGGCUGGAUGCAGUGGCUCACGCCUAUAAUCCCAGCACUCUGAGAUGCCAAGGCAGAGGAUUGCCUAAGCCCAGGAGUUCAAGACCAGCCUGGGGCAACAUAGUGAGACCCUGUCUCUACAAAAAAUAGAAAAUUAGCCACAUGCCUCUAGUCCCAGCUACUUGGAAGGCUGAGGUGGGAGGAUCGCUUGAGGUCAGGAGGUCAAGGCUACAGUGAGCCAUGACCACAUCACUGCACUCCAGUCUAGGCGACAAAGCAAGAACCUGUCUGAAAAAGAAAAACAAAUGGGAAUGCCUUCUUGGCUUGGGUGUGUCUCCUGAGCCCAUACAUACUUGCCUACCUGUUUUUGUGACCCUUGGCCCUCCUGGAAAAAUUGGUUUUGUUUUCAGCGACUCGGCAGCCAGCAUCCUGAGGAGUGAGACACAUUUGUCCCUGUGUAACCCCAUUGCCACUGUCAUCACCAUGCAUAGCAUCAGCCAGUAGUAAUGAGCAGCUAUUUUGAGGCUGGGGGACAGCUGUUUCCCCUAAGCUUUCAGAGGGCUGGGAUUCUGCGUGCAGAGACUUCCCUCCCCAUCUGUCUGUCACCUGACAGAAUAGGCUGUGACUUGGUAAUACCUUCUCGCCACCCCAAAAUUGUCCUACUUUCACCCCUCACUCCACCAGGAGGGAGAUGGAACAUGCCUGGGACCAGUCAGAGGCCAGUUUUGGGUCAUCUUCUGCAUCCAUCUUUGCUGUGUAACAGACCACUCCCAAACUCAGUGGCUUGAAACAUCAAUGAUUUAUUUCUCACCAUUCUGCAGGUUGGUUGGAUGGUGUUUCUGGUCCUCACUGGUUUGGCUGGGACUGGAUGGUCUGGAGUCCCUCACUCACAUGUCUGAGUCCUCAGCUGGGACAGUGUAUUCAUCAUGCCUUUUUAUUUUCUGUAUUUUUGAUUAUUUGACAUCUUGGGGUCUUCCUGACCCUGGAGAGACUGGUCCGUCUAGGGUGAGCCAAUUCCUACAGAUGGUAAAUGACUCUCCCUUCCAUAUGCAAACUGAACAAGACAGAGCCCAUAGCCCCAGCCACUCUGUUACAGAGCUCUGAUACCCUGUGCCAUUAUUUUCCUACCCCAAUCACCUUACAGCCAAGUACCAGACAACUAGAGACAGCCCUUAUACCUCAGAGCCAAAUGAAAUUAUCCAAACUAGCCCAUCUUAAACCUGCUUACCCUUCCUCACCUGUUCCUUCCCAGGAAACCAAAAUAGAGGUUCUUGCCCCAUUUUCCUCUCACUCCCUCUGCCCCUGGAUGGACCCUGGUGCUUCCCCAUUUGGUCCCCUGCAAUGUGGGAUGCUCCAUCUUUUAGGAUCUGUGGGUAACAAGCCAUUUUUUUCCAAUGGCAGUCAUCUCCUGAUCUGAUACCCUCAUCAUCCCUGAGUAAUAAUACAGCCAACAUUUAAAACAGACAGCAGCUGGGAUGGCUGCAUCUUUCUCUCCACGUGGCCUCUCAUGCUCCAGGGAGCUAACCUGGGCUUCUCCCUAUGUGAUCUCCACGUUCCCAGCUCAAGAGAGGGCAAACCUCAAUGUGUCAGCACUUUCAAAACUUCUGCCUGAGUCACACUUGCUAAUGUCCUAUGGGGCAGAGUAUAUCACAUGGCUGAGCCCAGAUUCAAAGAAUGGAAAGCUAUAGACUCCUCAUCUUAAUGAGAGGAACGGCAAAGUCCCAUCAAAGGGAUGUGCAUAUAGAUGGGAAGAAUUUGUUGUCAUUUCAUAAAGUCUACCAUAUGCUGUGCUCACUGUGCCUUUGGGCAAGUGGCUUCCUAUUCCUUAACCUCAUUUUCAGCAGCUUCAUAAUGGAAAGAUAAUCCCUGAUCCUCACAGGGCUGCUGAGAGGGUCAAAACACCAAAACACCACAGUCCAGAGAGUGCCAUGGUAAUGUAAAGGUUUGCUGUUAUCUGACAUUCAUACCAUAGAUGUCACAUUUUGAGUUAAGAAAGAUCCAGGCGUUUGGAUCUUAAAAAAUGAUUUUUUCCAGCCUGGGCAACAUGGCAAAACCUUGUCUCUACAAAAAAUACAAAAAUGAGCAGGGC
rnacentral:lncRNA from 1 species